GUAACCUACGGGAGGCAGCAGUAGGGAAUUUUCGUCAAUGGGCGCAAGCCUGAACGAGCAAUGCCGCGUGAACGAGGAAGGUCUUCGGAUCGUAAAGUUCUGUUGAAGGGGAAAAAGAGCGGAGAGAGGAAAUGGUCUCCGAUUGAUAUUACCCUUCGAGGAAGUCACGGCUAACUACGUGCCAGCAGCCGCGGUAAUACGUAGGUGGCGAGCGUUAUCCGGAAUGAUUGGGCGUAAAGGGUGCGUAGGUGGUUUCUUAAGUCAGAGGUGAAAGGCUACGGCUCAACCGUAGUAAGCCUUUGAAA
rnacentral:rRNA from 1 species